rnacentral:scRNA from 1 species
GUUGACCUUUAAGCAACUUUCUACAUUCAAAGAAAUCCUUCACCAACUG